rnacentral:RNase_P_RNA from 1 species
UUUGCAAUGUAUUCUAUCGCCAUAAUGUAGAUUAUGGAGGAAAGUCCGGACAACGUAGAGUGCUGUACCAUUUAACGAAUGGGGUCACGCUUGUCGUGAUACAGAUAGUGUCACAGAAAAUAACUACUUGAGCCGAUUCGUCGGUAAGAGAAAAGGUGAAAAAGUGAGGUAAGAGCUCACAGGUAUUAUUGGUAACAAUAAUAUAGGAUAAACCUUACAGGUUGAAAUGUCACGUAUACCUCAAUAUUUUACUUCGGUAAAAUUUAAUGUUACUCGCAUUAUUGAUUUAUUCAGUUGGGGAGGGUAGGCAGCUCAGAUAAAUGAUAGAACUUUCAUUGCGGUGAAAGACAGAAUCCGGCUUACAACAUUUUAUAAAAA